UAGGAGGUUCUCAAUCCAAGAAAAGGUAGGUUCUUGUUUUCCUCAACUUUGCUUUUGGUUGUUGCAGGAUGCCAAAUUAUCUAAUCUUUGGAAUUUCUGUUGUUUUGAAUCUGUCUCUCUCUCUCUCUUUGAAUUUGUGAAUUUUGGGGAGUACCCAUAUGGGAGAUUUCAAGUCUAUAUGUAAUGAUUUGGAAUUUUGGAUCCGCAGGCAAUCAUCAAUGGAUAACAGGUAUAAUUUUAUGAGGCAGGGCACUGGUGUAUGGAGAUCCCUGAGGGAAGGAGACUUUGAAGAAGAGGAUGUUUGGGAUGUUUUAAGAGAGACAAAAGAUGCAAAUUCCAAUUAUGGCAAAUCCACAGAAUCCUCAUUUUCUGUUCCAAG
rnacentral:misc_RNA from 1 species